UUGGGGGUAUUGCUGGUUUGCCUUCUUUUUCUGGGUGGAUGUGGCCCUCCUCUGGAUGAGGACCCAGAUGUGAGAGCUGAGGGUCCGGGAGGUGGGAAUGCAACCAAAGCACCCCAGAGGUAAGAGCUACCCACCUCCCCCCAAAAAACCCACCCUGCCUGGUGCCUGGGGUAAAAUCUGCCUUGUGCCCAGGGGCAAGAGCUUUUCUUCUUAGAGAAACCCCAGGGGCUGAGCUUGGCCUUGGCCCAAGGUGUCUGGUGGUGCUGCACAAGUCUCCUGGUACUCUAAGGUGGGGGCGACAACACUCUCAGUCCCCCCAGGAGCAACACCCCGGCUGCACGCAGCCUGCCGGGACCCCCCCAAAAGGCAGACGUCAGCGCGCUCUCCCCGCUCCCCGAGCAAGAGGGUGGCAGCUUCAAUUUAAAUAAUUGUUGCCAGGGUUUCAGCGGUGACUCAUUAGUCUCCGAGACAGGAUCCCUCGUUAGCAGGGGGCUAUCUGGGGAACACCCCCCCCCUCCCAGUGUUGCCAAGGCAUCUCCACGGUGGGACUUUCUGCACCUCCUUCUGCUGGUUCCUCUCGCCUUUUGUUUUCCAAAACAUUCGCCCCGGGUUGGCAGAGGCCCUCGGUGCUCUGCAGGCGCAGACAGGGUGUCUGUGCACCCCAAAAGGGCUCUGUUCUGCCAGGGUGGCCGGGCUCCCGCGUCUUUGCUCUUUGUUUUAGCAGGGGCCGUUUUGCUGGACCACCGACCACCCCGUGGGUCCGCCCGUACCGCUUCGUCACCGGGAUGUCACCUGCACCCUGAGGUCCCAGCACGGCACAUCAGUGCUGGGCUCCCCUCGGCCAGGCCCUGAAACGGUUGUCUUAGAGGAAUCUCCUCGCCGGUGUGAGAUCUCUGUUGGAUGAGGCCAUGGAAUUGCCUCUUCGGAGUUGUCCAGUCACCAAGAUGAUAUGUCCUCCACCAAAGUAGAUAUUGCCAUCCCCGAAAAACAUAUGGAAUGUGCAAGUCUCCUUUCAUCCCACCUUCCCUGAAGAUGGAGAGAUACCUGUGUAAGAAGAGCUUGUCCUCAAGCCAGAGUUUAUACGGUCGCCACUUGGAAGCAGAUCAUUAAAAGAGAGGAGAGGCUACUUCUUCAGCACUAAAGGUGACUCACAAGCAGCAUCACUCCGGGAAAGUUAAAAGUGAUAAUUCCAUAAGACUCAAGGAUUGUGUGGGACUCAAAGAGGGAUAAAACGGCCUUGCAGGGGGCUCUCCUUCCUCUCUCUCUUAGUGAUGAAUGAAACGGGAAAACCUGAUCAGUUCAGAGCGGCUGAAAAAUAAAACAUGGUCACGUCUUUAUCAACACCCAGGUAGGCUGGAAAUCGCUGCCCCGCGAUGCCGUGAAGGCUGAAAGCUGAACAGAGUUCGAGAGGAGGUUCAAUGUUUUUCUGGAUAACUAUAUGCAGAGUUGUAGGAAUUUAAACAGAAAAAUAGAAACCAAACAACGCAACAACAACCUGUGAAGGGGUCCGGAGAGCAUCUCAGGGUGGCUGCACCAGGACUCUGCUAACCCUCAGCUACCGAAGUCAGGGAGAAACUUCCUCCGGUGGAUUUGUCAUAAAAUAAAUUCUGCUGCCUCUGUCUUCUCAUUUCUGCUCUCAAGUGUCAGCGGUUCCCGACGCCUUCCGAGCCCCUGUGCGGGAGCUACCCCAGCCCCAGAGGAUCUGGGGAGUCACUGUAAGUGGCCCCAGUUUCAGAAGGGUCUUUCCAAAUGAAUCAGCGCCCCGAGCGACAUCUGGAAGGAAGACACUGAGUGUAACUUCAGGACAAACCUCCAGCUAGGUUUUUUUUGCUGUGGUGAAGUGCUGGCGUGUGCAGAAUCUACAUCACACGGUUGCCCAAAUCUGAGUUAAAAAUGCUGAUUAUUAAGUGAACGAGGAAGCUAAGGAGAAAAACUGCUGAUGUACUGAUGUCCAAUCUGUCCUGGGAGGUAGGAAAGCACAUGGGGAAACUGAGGCACAGAGCUCUAAUCCAGAUCCUCCAUGGCGUUUAGAUGCUUGGCUCUCUUUGAAACCAAUGGGAAGGAGGCAUCUGACCAUUUGUGUCCAAGUCACCUCUUCGAGGUCACACAGGACACUUGUAGAAAGGUGAUACAGAAAACUGAAUGCAAAUUUUCUGUGAUUCAUCCCAGAAUCAGCUAAAAGAUUCAGCCCUGAAUCUUUUAGCUGAAAGGUGGCCCAGCAUGAGGGAGAGCAGAAGACUUGGAUGAGCUGCUCCGUGUUCCAGUACGCUCCAACUCCAAGGAAAAUAGAAACUAUUUACGGGGAGCUGGACUCCAAACGCUGAUGUCUGCCAGUAGAACUCCUGGAGGAGAAGGUGGACCUACCACAUCCACUGAGCAGCCCCAGAAGCACGAAUUUCCAGUUACCUCCAUGGAGUGGAAAUUUGAAAUUUGCUUAACGGCUUUUAUGCAGGGUGGAGGAUUUGGGAAAACUCCAGGAAUCCUGACUCACCAAUGGUCCUUGCUACCCAGACACAGGUCACUGCCAGAAAAUGAGCUCCUUGGAAAGUCCUUCGCAAGAGGAGAGCAUCCAGGAAGGACCAUCUCUACAAAAGGCAAUAGAGCAUUAAGGCAGGAAUGAGAUCUGGAGAGGGAGGAAGCUGCAUUCAGUGAAGGUUUUCUCAGACCCCUCUGGUCCAACACGGUCUGGCUGUUGGUGUUGCAGCACAAGCACAGAUAACCCUCCCCUGGGACAACCACUUUUGGUGGUAUGGAGAUCCAGCUUGAAGGUCACCAAGCAGUCAGACCAACUGAUGCCAUCAAGACUGUGCCCCCAGCAUGGAAAAGAAAGAUUUUCCCCUCCCUCAGACCUCCUCACCGCUUGAUCAGAGGCUCAGGGCAAACACGUGGCAUGACCCCAGCCCUUGUUCCCAUCCUCCAACCUUUCCGGGGUCCGUGUGAAAGAAGCUAAAUGGGGACAUGAAGGUGGUAAUGGAGUGGAAGCAGAGCAAGGAAAGCUUCGCUGAUGGAUUAUUAGGCACUGUCAAAGUUUCAGCAGAGUGGAAAACUUGGAGGCUGGAAGGUCUGAGCUAUUCCGCACACAUCUGUUCUCAAGAGAUAGAAGAAGGUUCAUCACCAGUAUCUCCCAGAGCUUCAGAGCACAGUAGGACACCUGCUCAGAGCAGACCUUCUGAUUGCUUUCCUGGAGAAGCUAAAAUCAGGUCGCGUGUAGCUGCUAAUAAAACUUCCGCUGAGAAGCUGCUGGCCAUUCAUUACUUGGAGCUUCUGAAUGCUUGUCAGGUAUUGCCCGGGGCCCUAAGCACAGAGGUGAGAGGAGAAGAGAAAGAAGGGAACGCAGAAAUGGGGUGCAAAGAUGAGGAAGAAGAGGCGGACAAAGCCUUCUUAGAAGGCUCAGACCUUCAGCUGCCAAAGGUCGACAUCCCAUCUGCUGGGAAUCCAACUGUUUGCCUGGCAAAAACUGAGGUGCGGGAUCUGAUCAGGAAUUUCCUUGCCUGGAUGCUGCCAUCUCCCCCUCUGCCAUUGCCCAGGACCUUGGUGCCUUCUUUGGGUUGUCCCACGGAGGGUUUCUGGUGAGCUUCGGGAGCUGCGUUCUCCCGGAUUGCCUGCGAGAGGAGUGGAGCCCCCUGGGAAUUGUUUAGCAGCGAUUCACUGGGUCAGUGUAUUAGAACAGACUCAAGUCUAUCAGCCAGAUGGUGACUUCAGAAAAAAAUUGACACACCAUUUCAAACUGAUUUCACGCAAACCCUCCUGAGGGGAGCCAGUGGGAAUCCAGCAAUCAGAUCUGUUGUGAAUAAAUAUUACAAAAUUGUCAAUUACAAAAGGGAUGUUUAAAAUGUUUGACUGAUUUAGAAGUCUAUUCAUUCCUUGCCUUAUACUUUGAUGACGGAUCUUCCAAUAUCACUGACUGAUUGCUUCCCUUGGCCACAGAAAUCUCAGUUUUUAAUUUUUUUUUGUUGGAAGAAGUUAUGGUAGUGCCUUUCCAGGCUUUUAUGGUAAGCAGGCAUCUGAGAUAAAAGCUAAGCCAGGUACAAUUUGGAGCAUGAUGUCUUCUACAGAUACUGGCUUAAAAAUGAGCAUUGGACUUAAAAAGGUAAUCAGGUCUGAACACUUUCAAAGCUACGCGGGACCAAGAUCUCUCACGGGUAAAUUCAAUCGAUGUACAUGCAAAUGUCUGCCUUUGCAGAGAGGAGAAGUUGGAAUAUCUUCCCAAGCACCAGCUAUACGUGAUCAUCAAGUUAGGUAUUCAGCUGAAAAAGGUAUUUGCCUUGCAUUGCAACUCCCAGCGGAGGCAAUUUUUGCUGUCCUGCCACCCACGCGACCGCUGUCGAUCCGUCGCUUUCUCCGGCCUCGUUUCUUUGUCUUGAACUGCACGUCCUGACAGGAUGUUCCCAUCUCGGCAGGGCUCGCUGGGCCUUUCCCGUCCUUGGCCACCCUCUCCCUCCAUCGGACCAGAGCAACCCACGGUCGCCUUUGGGCCACCUCAUCCCCUUCCUGAACCGUUGCAGCUUCCUCGUCACAGACAUUCCUGUUUCCAAAGGAUCUUGAUUUUACCAGCGCUACUGGACCACUCUCUGCUUCCCUCCGAAGGAGACCAGAUCCCUGACGUCUUCCCCGAUCACUCCCCUUUUUUUUUUUAAUUUUUUUUUCUCCGUCUCUGAGGUGGCUUAAUUUAUUGUCCCAGGGCGGUGUCACCAGUUGUCUCUCUCUCUUUAGAUCUCCAUAUAGUAAACAAUAAAGCUCACCUCCGACGGAAAGCGUUGUUCCCACGUGGCUUUUAGCUGGUCUGUGCUGGUCAGUCUCACCAGUCCUUCGCUCCCAACAGAUGGAGAUAUGAUCACUGGAGAGGACAAUGAGGCAUAAAUCAAAGUUAUUCCGGAAACAGAAUUUCAGACGGUUUUCAAGGAUGAAAAUGAAACGUAUAAAGCUUUAUUAGUGCAGUAUUAUCUAAUUGU